CCCUGGUCACUUUUGGAACCUGGAACCUCACCAAAAGGAGCAGAGGCAAAUGGUGCUGUAAACAUGGGGUGUGAAGGCCUACCCUCUGGGAGAUGACCACACAUGGAAAUGGCUACUGGAGAGGCCAGCCCCUCUCAUCAGAGCGACCCCCACAGCACCUCCACUGAGCCUUCUCUGCGCUGGGCUGGAAGUUGGGGUGACAAGUGAACCAGACAGGUUCUUGUCUCCAUAGGGGCUAAGUUGGGUGAGGGAAGACAGCAGGUUCGCGAACAAGUACAGGCUUUUCUUGUACUCCAAGGAAGAAGGAAGACAAGGGGAUCCCAAACUAGUCACACUUGAAAGGCUGCUUGAGUGACUUUUCAGGCACUCAUCCCAGAACAGAAGCCAGGCCUUGGGAGGAGGCUGGCCACACUCAACACCAUGCAGUAGUAAGAGGGAAGACAGGAGGAGAUUGUCCAGCAUUGUUGAGCUCAUCUUGUAACACCACCGCCAUUGAGAGAAACUCGCCCAAGAACUGCUCAUGGGGUUCCUGAAGCAGCUUGCUGCUUCCUCUUCCUCACUUCAGGCAGGCUGGUGAGCCUGGUGGUUUCUUCAGGAUUGAAAUAAAGAUGUUGGUUCUGUGUGG